ACGCUCGACACCUACGGGGGGCAGCAGUGGGGAAUAUUGCACAAUGGGGGAAACCCUGAUGCAGCGACGCCGCGUGAGUGAAGAAGUAAUUCGUUAUGUAAAGCUCUAUCAGCAGGGAAGAAAGUGACGGUACCUGAGUAAGAAGCCCCGGCUAACUACGUGCAGCAGCCGCGGUAAUCUGAGCGGGCUGGCAAGGC
rnacentral:rRNA from 1 species